GAUGAACGCUGGCGGCGUGCCUAAUACAUGCAAGUCGAGCGAACUUUUGGGAGCUUCCUCCCAAAAGUUAGCGGCGCACGUGUGUGUAACACGUGAGUAACCUUCCUGUAAGACUGGAAUAACUUCGGAAAACCGCUGCUAAUACCGGCUAACAUUGAAAACCACAUGGCCUUCAAUUAAACUCUCGCUUUCAGCUACCACUUACAGAGGGACCCGCGGCGCAUUAGCUAGUUGGUGAGGUAACGGCUCACCAAGGCGACGAUGCGUAGCCGAGCUGAGAAGGUGGUCGAGCACACUGGGACCUAGGCACGGGUCAGGAUCCUACGGGAGGGAGCAGUAGGGGAUCUUUCGCAAUGGGGGAAAGGCUGACGGAGCAAAGGCGGGGGGGGGAAGGAGGGUUUCGGGUCGUAAAACUAUGUUGUGAGGGAAGAACAAGUAUCGAGCGAAUAGGGCGGUAUCUUGACGGUACCUAAAGAGAAAGCAACGGCUAACUACGUG
rnacentral:rRNA from 1 species